CCCUUAGAUGUUCUGGGCCGCACGCGCGCUACACUGACGAUGUCAGAGAGUGUCUCCUUCACCGAGAGGUGUGGGUAAUCUUUUAAACAUCGUCGUGCUGGGGAUAGAUCAUUGCAAUUUUUGAUCUUAAACGAGGAAUUCCUAGUAAGCGCGAGUCAUCAGCUCGCGCUGAUUACGUCCCUGCCCUUUGUACACACCGCCCGUCGCUACUACCGAUUGAAUGCUCAGGUGAGCCAUUCGGACUUUCAUCAUGCUGGUUUCCAGUUUUGAUGAAGGAAAGUCUUGCGAACCUUAUCAUUUAGAGGAAGGAGAAGUCGUAACA
rnacentral:rRNA from 1 species